GUGACAAUGCGACGCCGCGUGAGCGAUGAAGGCCUUCGGGUUGUAAAGCUCUGUCAGUUGGGAUGAAGGCCUAGCGGUUAAUAACUGUUAGGAUUGACGGUACCGGCAAAGGAAGCCACGGCUAACUCCGUGCCAGCAGCCGCGGUAAUACGGAGGUGGUAAGCGUUGUUCGGAUUUACUGGGUGUAAAGGACAUGUAGGCGUCUUUUUAAGUCGGUUGUGAAAUCCCUUGGCUCAACCAAGGAACUGCAUCCGAUACUGGAAAGAUUGAGUACGGGAGAGGUAAGCGGAAUUCCGGAAGUAAGGGUGAAAUCUGUAGAUACCCGGAGGAACACCAUUAGCGAAGGCGGCUUACUGGUCCGAUACUGACGCUGAAAUGUGAAAGCUAGGGGAGCGAACAGGAUUAGAUACCCUGGUAGUCUUAGCUGUAAACGAU
rnacentral:rRNA from 1 species